GUUUUUUGAGCUUGAAUUAUUAAGCGUAGUAUUGAAGAUACUAAGAUAAUUAUUUUAUAUUAUAGAACA
rnacentral:tRNA from 1 species